GCGCCUGUAGCUCAAUUGGAUAGAGUACCGGAUUUCGAAUCCGUUGGUUGCAGGUUCGAGUCCUGCCAGGCGCACCA
rnacentral:tRNA from 1 species